UACGGAGGGUGCGAGCGUUAAUCGGAAUUACUGGGCGUAAAGCGUGCGUAGGCGGCUAUUUAAGUUGGAUGUGAAAUCCCCGGGCUUAACCUGGGAACUGCACCCAAAACUGGAUAGCUAGAGUACAAGAGAGGAGUGUGGAAUUUCCUGUGUAGCGGUGAAAUGCGUAGAUAUAGGAAGGAACACCAGUGGCGAAGGCGACACUCUGGCUUGAUACUGACGCUGAGGUACGACAGCGUGGGGAGCAAACAGG
rnacentral:rRNA from 1 species